rnacentral:rRNA from 1 species
AUUGAACGCUGGCGGCAUGCUUUACACAUGCAAGUCGAACGGGGUUGGGAGCUUGCUUCCAAUCUAGUGGCGAACGGGUGAGUAAUACAUCGGAACGUACCGUGUAGUGGGGGAUAACGUAGCGAAAGUUACGCUAAUACCGCAUACGAUCCACGGAUGAAAGCAGGGGACCUUCGGGCCUUGUGCUAUACGAGCGGCCGAUGUCUGAUUAGCUAGUUGGUGAGGUAAAGGCUCACCAAGGCGACGAUCAGUAGCGGGUCUGAGAGGAUGAUCCGCCACACUGGGACUGAGACACGGCCCAGACUCCUACGGGAGGCAGCAGUGGGGAAUUUUGGACAAUGGGCGCAAGCCUGAUCCAGCCAUGCCGCGUGCGGGAAGAAGGCCUCGGUGUAACGCUUUGUCAGGGAAGAAACGCUCCAGGCUAAUA